rnacentral:rRNA from 1 species
UACCAGCUCUUCGAGUGGUGUGGAUGUUUAUUGGGCCUAAAGCAUCCGUAGCUGGCUGGGCAAGUCCCCUGUUAAAUCCACCGAUUUAAUCGUUGGAGUGCGGGGGAUACUGUUCGGCUAGGGGACGGGAGAGGCAGACGGUAUUUUCGGGGUAGGGGUGAAAUCCUAUAAUCCCGGGAAGACCACCAGUGGCGAAGGCUGUCUGCUAGAACGCGCCCGACGGUGAGGGAUGAAAGCUGGGGGAGCGAACCGGAUUAGAUACCCGGGUAGUCCCAGCUGUAAACGAUGCAGGCUAGGUGUUUGGGCGGCCACGUGCCGCUCUAGUGCCGCAGGGAAGCCGUUAAGCCUGCCGCCUGGGGAGUACGGCCGCAAGGCUAGAAACUUAAAGGAAUUGGCGGGGGAGCACCACAAGGGUGAAGCUUGCGGUUU